GCCAACAACAUGUCACUUCCUCUUCCUGUUGAUGACAUCAUGAAGCCCUGGGUCCUGCAGAUGGGCUUCCCUGUGGUUACCAUAGAUACCAGCACAGGAAACGUGUCACAGAUGUACUUCCUGCUGGAUCCAGAGUCCAACGUCACAGUCCAGUCUCCAUACAAGUACGAGUGGCUGAUUCCUGUCAGAUGGAUGAAGUCAGGUGACGUUAAGAGCGACAUCUGGUGGCUGCUGAA